AAAUAUUGGGACAUAUAAAAAAAAAGACAACUCUGUUCCACAGAGUAGUAGUUAACAUUAUAGUUGCGCAGGCACUUUGUUGACUCUAGAGAACCUCGGGCCAAUCGCACAUCCCUGUGGCGGCGACUUUGCAUGCGGAUGUCAUCCAUAUCAACGUUUGAUGCCAGUUUCUGCGCCUACCAUGGUGACCACGGGUAACGGGGAAUCAGGGUUCCAUUCCGUACAGGGACCAUGAGAAACAGCUAUCACAUGCAAGAAAGGCAGCAGGCGCGCAAAUGACCCACUCCCGACGUGGGAAGGUAGUGAU